rnacentral:rRNA from 1 species
AUGCUGACGCCGCAGAAGAGGCGCCGCCGCCGCAGGAGGUCUCCUCGCGAAGGACCGUCCCGCCGGCGCCGCGGUGAAGAAGGCGCAUCGUUGUCUGGAUCCCUUGUCGAAUUGGACAUCAGCAGCACGACAUCCAGCGCACCGCCGGCCCGCCAGUCCAGGUACCAUGAGAUCCUCGCCUCGCGCCUCGCCGGAUUGCACUUACAAGCGGGCGUCGCUGUCGACAGCCCAAAUCUUCCUUCCGAUGAAAUUGUCCAAGUCCUCGCUCGUUCUAAUUUCUAUGAUGAUGAGCUGCGGGCUGCCCUAGUAGAAUAUCAAGCCCACAAGUUCUUGAGCGAACCCCACGGACCAGAUGUUGGAGGUACAUACUUUGGAGAGGACUCGGGCGAUGAUAUCACUGCGGAGGAAUUUGCCAAGUACUCUGGACAACUAAAGACUCGCAGACCGGCUGAAAUUGACACUAAGACUGGACUGGAUCAAGAGCAGUUGGACAGCCUCCUCGCCAAGUAUAAACGUUAUCGCUUCAAAGCUUACCUGCUUCUGUUAGGAAAGCCUGUCGACGAGCUAGAAGAAGCUGCAUUGGAAUGCAAGUACCCUAUGGAGCUUGGCUUGGAGAAUGAGUUCUUCUCUCCUUACCUUCAUGAUAGUGCCUUUGGCUGGUAUUUCGACCACGACCUCUGUUUACUUGCAAACUUGAGCGACUACCAGCGGCUAGUCCUUCCUAACUCUGGUGGGAAUGAGUAUGAAUAUGACAGAUGGAGUCAGUACAAAGCGUUUUAUAACACCCCUGAUGCUGAUAGAGAGUAUGUGCUGUACUGGGAAAAGAUGGUCAAGGAAAUGAAGUGGCUUGAAAAUCAUGUGCUUAAAGAUUUUCUGGAGUGGGAGCCAAUGCGCCGUAAAGGUUUGUACCAAUCAAUUAAGAUUGCCAAUGGGUUCACCAACAUUCAUUUGGGUCUAGCAUGUCAUGGUUUCGAGGAGUAUGUAUUGAGGACUCGCCUUAAUCGUCUGUUUGUCGAAGGUCUUGACCGUGCCUUUCUUGAGAUUUGGAAGCGGGUCAAUGAGGGUCAGAUGUGUUUCAGAGAUGCUCUGCAGGAUGUUUACAAUGAGAAUCUGGUUCCAUUGCGCCAACAUACUUUGAAGGCUGAGCUGGAGUGGCCCGGCGGUUUUUUGCAACUGGAGCGACAAUUCCGCCGGUGCACAGAAGGCAUUAGUAAGGAACUUCCAGAUCAAAGAGUCCAAGAGUUGAUUGCGCAGGAAAUUAACUACAAGCGUGCGUUGCCAAAGACGUAUGCACAGUACGCCAGGAAGAAGCUCCAGGUUGCACAAGUCUUGGGAAUCAUUCCCAGGGCCGAGAUACCAGCGUAG